UUCUUUCUACACUUAAUCAUAUGCUCUUUUUUUUUUUCUUGUCAUUUAGGACACCAUCAUAGGUUAUAUCUCGAUUUAUUCUUUGCUCAUUUGGUUUUUCAUCAUUGGGACACCAUCCUAAGAUGUAUCUAUGUUUCUUCUUUAUUACAUUUGUUUCUCAUCAUUGGGAAACCAUUCUAGUUUCUAUCUCAGUUUAUUCUAUGUUCAUUCUCAAUUUAAUAUUUGUUUCAUUUGAUUUCUAAUUAUUCGGAUGUCAUUCUAGGUUCUAAGUAUCUUUUCUAUUAUGUUUGUUUCUAAUUAUUGGGACAUCGUCCUAAGUUUUUUCUUUUUUCAUUUGGUUUCAUAUAUCAUUGGAAAGAUGAUAGGUUCAAUAUAAGCUUAAUAUUUUGUCUAUUUGGUUUCUCAUCAUUGCGACACCCUCCUAGGUUCUAUCUAGGUUUCCUCGUAUUUCUUCUUGUUUCUCAUCAUUAGGACACCAUCCUAUGUUCUAUGUUAGUUUAUUCUUUGUUUAUUUCAUUUCUCAUCAUUGGAACGUCAUCCUAGGUUUUAUCCAUGUUUCUUCUUUUUUCCUUUAGUUUCUCAUCUUCGCUACACUAUCCUACGUUUUAUCUCCGUUUUCUCUUUAUCUUUAAGAUGGAUUCUUAUGAGUGGUGCGCUUUAUUAAUACUUCUUAUCUUUAAAGGGAGAAAUUUCUUAUCGUUUUAGUGGCGAACUUAUGUUGUUAACUUACCGUUUUAUUUCCUGAAAAUGGUAUCACCUCCAAAGGAUGAGUGGUUUUUAAUAAUCUCCAAGACCUCUAUGAUCUUUUUGCCCGAAUCUCUAACCUUCAAAGGGUUAUAAGGUAAGUAUUUAGAGGCAAAAGCCAUGAGGAUUUUGGUAUCUAAGGGUUUCCAAAUUAGAGUUGAAUUUAAAUUCAUUUCUAAACUGAACAGGACUUUUCUUGCCAAUUAAGAGAACUAAAACCACUUGAGUUGGAUUAACCGCUUAAACACUUUUUAGAUGUACGUUUGAUUGCACAACAACUCUUGAAUUUUGAUGGAGAGAAAGCCAAUAUGUAAAAAGAUUUCUAUGUUCAAAUAAAAAUUAGAACAAAAUUCCCAACACAAAAACAAGAGUCAAUAUCGAACAAGGUUAUCGAAGAAUUCGACUCUGUACGAAUUUAACUCAUAAUCACUAUCACUAUUAGAAUCAUUCAUGGAUACAACAAAAGCUAACAUGUCAUUGGGAUUGUACCUUGCAUCUUCAAAAGUUAUAGAAGCACUGUCCUAUCUAAAUUUAAUAGUUUGUUCCUUUGGUUUCUCAUCGUUUGGCAACCAUCCAAGGUUUUAUGGAAGUUUAUUCUUUCUCCCUUUGGUUUCUCAUCUUUGGGAAGAAUUCGUAGGUUCUAUCUCAGGUCAUUCACUGUUUCCUUUGGUUUGUCAUCAUUGGGACGCCCCGUAGAACCUAUCUAUGUUUAAUUAUUUGUUUCUUUAAUGUCUCAUAGUUUGGGCACCAUCCUAGGUUCUAUUUAAGUUUAUUCUUCAAUCCUUCUAUUUCUAUUAUUGGAACGCGAUCUAGGUUUUAUCUAAGUUCAUUUGUUUGUUGCAUUCGUUUUUCAUCAUUGGGACAACUUUUUAGGUUCUAUCUAAAGCUUAUUCCUUUUUUCAAUUUGUAACUAAUCAUUGGGACAUGAUCCUUUGGUUUCUUAUCGUUUGGACAACAUCUAGGUUUUAUGGAAGUUUAUUCUUUCUCCCUUUGGUUUCUCAUCUUUGGGACGACAUUGUAGCUUCUUUCUAAGGUCAUUCAUUCUUUCCUUGGGUUUGUCAUCAUUGGGACGCCCCCUAGGCCCUAUCUAAGCUUAAUUUUUUGUUUCUUUAAUUUCUCAUCAUUUGGACACCAUCUUAGGUUCUAUCUAUGUUUAUUCUUCAUCUCUUUUGUUUCUUAUCGUUGGAACACCAUCUAGGUUUAAUCUAAGUUCAUUUUUUUGUUCCACUCGUUUUUCAUCAUUGGGACAGCUUUCUAGGUUCUAUCUAAGCCAUUCCUUUUUCCCAUUGGUAACUAAUCAUUGGGACAUGAUCUUUUCGUUUCUCAUUCUUUGGAAACCAUCUAGGUUUUAUGGAAGUUUAUUCUUUCUCCAUUUGGUUUCUUAUCUUUGGGACGAGAUCGUACGUUCUUUGUAAGGUCAUUCAUUCUUUACUUUGGUUUGUCAUCAUUAGGAUGCGCCCUAGGCCCUAUGUAAGCUUUAUUGUUUUUUCGUUUAAUUUCUCAUCGUUUAGACCAUGUCUUAGGUUCUAUCUAUGUUUAUUCUUCAUCCCUUUUGUUUCCUAUCAUUGGAACGUGAUCUAGGUAUUAUCUAAGUUCAUUUGUUUGUUCCACUCAUUUUUCAUAAAUGGGACAGCAUUCUGGGUUCUAUCUAAGGUCAUUCCUUUUUUCCAUUUGUAACUACUCGUUGGGACUUUUGCCUUUGGUUUCUCAUUGUUUGGACACCAUCUAGGUUUGACGGAUGUUUAUUCUUUCUCCAUUUGGUUUCUCAUUUUUUGAAGACAUCGUAUGUUCUUUCUAAGGUGAUUCAUUCUUUAGUCUGGUUUGUCAUCAUUGGGACGCCCCCUAGGCCCUAUCUAAGCUCAAUUAUUUGUUACUUUAAUUUCUCAUCGUUUGGACAACAUCCUAGGUUCUAUCUAUGUUUAUUCUUCAUCCCUUUUCUUUCCUAUGAUUGGAACACCAUUUAGGUUUUAUCUAAGUUCAUUAUUUUUUUUCCACUCGUUUUUCAUCACUAGGACAGCAUUCCAGGUUCUAUCGAAGGUCAUUCCUUUUUUCCAUUUGUAACUAAUCAUUGGGACAUGAUCGUUUGGUUUCUCAUGGUUUGGACACCAUCUAGGUUUUAUGGAAGUUUAUUCUCUCCCUUUGGUUUCUCAUCUUUGGGAUGACCUCAUAGGUUCUUUCUCUCAUUUAGUCUUUGGGACUUUUGCCUUUGGUUUCUCAUCGUUUGGACACCAUCUAGGUUUGAUGGAAGUUUAUUUUUCUCCAUUUGGUUUCUCAUUUUGGGACGACAUCGUAGGUUCUUUCUAAGGUGAUUCAUUCUUUACUUUGGUUUGUCAUCAUUGGGCCGCCCCCUAGGCCCUAUGUAGGCUUAAUUGUUUGUUGCUUUAAUUUCUCAUUGUUUACACACCAUCCUAUGUUCUAUCUAUGUUUAUUCUUCAUCCCUUUUGUUUCCUAUCAUUGGAACGCGUUCUAGGUUUUAUCUAAGUUCAUUUGUUUGUUCCACUCGUUUUUCAUCAUUAGGAUAACUUUCUAGGUUCUAUAUAUGCUCAUUCCAUUUUUCCAUUUUUCCAUUUGUAACUAAUCAUUGGGACACGAACCUUUUCUUUCUCACUGUUUGGACACCAUCUAGGUUUGGUGGAAGUUUAUUCUUUCUCCCUUUGGUUUCUCAUCUUUGGGACGACAUCGUAGCUUCUUUGUAAGGUCAUUCAUUCUUUCCUUUUGGUUUCUCAUCAUUGGACGUCCCGUAGGCCCUAUCAAAGCUUAAUUUUUUGUUCCUUUAAUUUCUCAUUCAUUCAUUCUUUCCUUUAAUUUUUUGUUCCUUUAUUCUUCAUCCCUUUUGGUUCCUAUUAUUGGCACAUGAUCUAAGGUUUUAUCUAAGUUCGUUUGUUAGUUCCUCUCGUUUCUCAUUAGUGGGCAACAUUCUAGGUUCUAUCUAAGGUCAUUCCUUUUUUCCAUUUGUAACUAAUCAUUGGGACAUGAACAUUUGGUUUCUCAUUGUUUGGACAUAAUCUAGGUUUAAUGGAAGUUUAUUCUUUCUCCCUUUGGUUUCUCAUCUUUGGGAUGACAUUGUAGGUUCUAUCUCAUGUGAUUCAUUCUUUCCUUUGGUUUGUCAUCAUUAGGACACACCGUAGGCUUUAUCUAAGCUUAAUUAUUUGUUUCUUUAAUUUCUCAUCGUUUGGACACCAUCCUCGGUUCUAUGUUUAUUCUUCAUCCCUUUUGUUUCCUAUGAUUGGAACACGAUCUAGGUUUUAUCCAAGUUCAUUGGUUUGUUCCACUCGUUUUUCAUCACUGGGACAGCUUUCUAGGUUCUAUCUAGGCUCAUUCCCUUUUUCUAUUUGUAACUAAUCAUUGGGACAUGAUCCUUUGGUUUAUAAUUGUUUGGAAACUAUCCAGGUUUUAUGGAAGUUUAUUCUUUCUCCAUUUGGUUUCUCAUCUUUGGGAUGACAUCGUAGGCUCUAUUUAAGGUCAUUCAUUCUUUCCUUUGGUUUGUCAUCAUUAGGACGCCCCAUAGACCCUAUGGAAGUUUAGACGCAAUCAAGGUUUGCUCGAAGUUUAUUCUUUCUCCCUUUGGUUUCUCAUCUUUCUGACGACAUCGUAGGUUCUAAGGUCAUUGAUGCUUUCCUUUAGUUUGUCUUCAUUGGCACGCCUCCUAGGCCCUAUCUAAGCUUAAUUAUUUGUUCCUUUAACUUCUCAUCGUUUAGACACUAUCCUGGGUUCUAUCUAUGUUUAUUCUUCAUCUCUUUUGUUUCCUAUCGUUGGAUUGCGAUCUAGGUUUUAUCUAAGUUCAUUUGUUUGUUCCACUUGUUUUUCAUCUUUGGGACAACUUUCUAGGUUGUAUCUAAGCUCAUUCCUUUUUUCCAUUUGUACUAAUCAUUGGGACAUGAUCCUUUGGAUUCUCAUCGUUUGGACACCAUCUAGGUUUUUUGGAAGUUUAUUCCUUGUCCCUGUGGUUUCUCAUCUUUGGGACGACAUCAUAGCUUCUUUCUAAGGUCAUUCAUUUUUACCUUCAGUUUGUCAUCAUUGGGAUGCCCCUUAGGCCCUAUCUAAGCUUAAUUGUUUGUUCCUUUAAUUUCUCAUCGUUUGGACACCAUCCUAGGUUCUGUCUAUGUUUAGUCUUUGUCCCUUUAGUUUCCUAUGAUUGGAACACCAUCUAGGUUUAAUCCAUGUUCAUUUGUCUUUUCCACUCGGUUUUCAUCAUUGGGAUAGCUUUCUAGGUUCUAUUAUGCUGAUUCCUUUUUUCCAUUUGUAACUAAUCACUGGGACUCGAUCCAUUGGUUUCUCACCGUUUCGACACCAUCUAGGUUUGAUGGAAGUUUAUUCUUUCUCCCUUUGGUUUCUCAUCUUUGCGACGACUUUGUAGCUUCUUUCUAUGGUCAUUCAUUCUUCAAUUUGGUUUUUCAUUAUUGGGACGCCCCGUAGGCCCUAUCUAAGCUUAAUUGUAUGUUCCUUUAAUUUCUCAUCGUUUAGACACCAUCCUAGGUUUUGUCUAUGUUUAUUCUUCAUCCCUUUCGUUUCCUAUUAUUGGAAUGGCAUCUAGGUUAUAUCUAAGUUCAUUUGUUUGUUCCACUUGUUUUCAAUCGUUUGGACUGCUUUUUAGGUUCUAUCUAAGCUCAUUCCUUUUUUCCAUUUGUAACUAAUCAUUUGGACAUGAAGCUUUGGUUUCUCAUUGUAACACCUAGUACUAAUGAAUUAAAUAGGCAAUAAUGAUUAUUUUAGUACUUAACUUUAAGCUUGCUUAAUUAGAUGUUAAAACUAUUUAGUGCUAAUCAUAUUUAAUUAUGAAUUAAACUUUGAUUAUGGUUAAGUGGGAUUAGUUAAUGACCUAAGCAUGCUUAUUAGGUUCUUAGGGACUAAUUAGGGUUAUGAAAACCUAAAGGACUAAUGGGCAAUUAUGGGUUUUAUUUUUGAUAACUUGAAGGACUAAAGUGCAAAAUUUGGAAAUUGGAGUUAGUGGAAUGCCACCUCCUACUUGGGUGAUUGGUGGCAGCCAUGUGGGCGGCCACCUCAUGCUUGGGUGCUUGGAGACCCCUUUAUAAGGGGGCUGCAGCUCGUUUUGCACCAUUUCACCUGCAGCAACUUGGGUUAGAGAGAGAAAGUGUAGAUUUGAGGUAAGCAAGUUGUUUAAUUUUGUAAUUUUCGUUUAUUUUGGUUCCUAAUGGUAUGUUGAAUAGAAUUAACGGUUAAAAUUGUGUAAAAGUUGAGUAUAAUUAGCUAUAAACCUGUUUUAGUUAAAAAUCACAAUUAAUUAAAGAUUAAAGUAUUUUAAGUUAAGUAUUUUAUUAAUGGUAAGAUCAGCAUAAAUCUUUGUUUAAUUUGGUUUGAUUGAAAAAUAGAUUAGUAAACAUGUGAUGAAUUGGGUUAUUUGGACACUUGGGAUUUGUUAAUAGGUUAGGCUUUAAGAAAAUCAAAAGAAUUAGUGUUUGGUAAUUAAUUAGGGAAAUUAAUAUGCAUUGUAAAUAUUGUUUAAUUCAAUUCAAAUUUGAUCUGAAAACAUGUAGGAUAUAGAUUAGAGAAUGUGAGAAUUAAAAAUUUGCAACAAUAAACUAUAUAAAUUUUCAUGGUUAGGAAACCUAAAUUAUGUUGUUUCAUUUCAGUUCCUCGUAAUAGGCAAAGAUCGCCUACUUAGAAGAAACACAAAAAGGAAGUCGGUGUAAGAUGCAGGUCAGAAGACCUAUGCAGGAAAGAAUGCUUGAGCAAUGCUUUACUGUGAUUGGAUGUUGUUUGCUCAUAUUGAAAGUCUUUUGAGGCCAUGCCUUUUGUAUCAAGACUACACCUUUUGUUGGAAUGAUGUAAUGUAUAUAUUUGUUAGAUACACUUGUAGUAUGGGCUACCCAUAGUAAACAAUGGGGUUUGGUAUAUGUAAAUUAAUGUUGUACAAGUUUCUUUUGUGAAACAAAACAUAUUUUGUUAACUUAAUAGUCACAAUGUUUAAUACAGGAUGUACUCUUUAUAA